AUGGGACGCUCUAAUUCUGACAUGGUGCGAAGAGCCUAUUGAGCUAGCUGGUAGUCCUCCGGCCCCUGAAUGCGGCUAAUCCUAACUGCGGAGCACACACCCACAAACCAGUGGGCAGUGUGUCGUAACGGGCAACUCUGCAGCGGAACCGACUACUUUGGGUGUCCGUGUUUCCUUUUAUCCUUAUGUUGGCUGCUUAUGGUGACAAUCAAAGAGUUGUUACCAUAUAGCUAUUGGAUUGGCCAUCCGGUG
rfam:Human enterovirus 71 gene for polyprotein, partial cds, isolate: V-6354/EV71/Kanagawa/1986.